rnacentral:rRNA from 1 species
GCUUAGAGAGGGGUCAAUGUCCUAUCAGCUAGUUGGUAGGGUAAUGGCCUACCAAGGCUAAGACGGGUAGCCGGCCUGAGAGGGUGGUCGGCCACACUGGGACUGAGACACUGCCCAGACUCCUACGGGAGGCUGCAGUCGAGAAUCUUUCGCAAUGCCCGAAAGGGUGACGAAGCGACGCCGCGUGUGGGAAGAAGGCCUUCGGGUUGUAAACCACUGUCGGGAGUUAAGAAAUGUAAGGGUGUUAAUAGUAUCCUUACUUGACUAAGGCUCCGGAGGAAGCCACGGCUAACUCUGUGCCAGCAGCCGCGGUAAUACAGAGGCGGCAAGCGUUGUUCGGAAUUAUUGGGCGUAAAGAGCACGUAGGCGGCUUUGUAAGUCAGUUGUGAAAGCCUUCUGCUCAACGGAAGAACAGCAUCUGAUACUGCAAGGCUAGAGUGCGGAAGGG